AGAUGUGAGGGCAAUCUGGCUGUGACAUAUGUCCCUCCACUGAUCGCCAGGGCUGACUAGGCUGAUCUGGCUGGCUGGGCAGGUGUCCCCUUCCUCCCUCGCCCUCCAUGUGUAUCUCUCCUGAAGACGCGUGCUUGGUCAAAGAGGCAGACUUUCCCUGAAUAGAGGAGGGCCAGCCUUUGCUCAAGGGUAUGUGGGUAGUGCUGCCCUGCUAGAGCCUCCAAGCAGGAUCUCAAAGACAUCUUUAGUGGCUAGAACCUAAAUAUGUAAAGUAGGUAUUUUACAACUGUAAAGAUCAAAGAUACUUGCUGAGAAUUUAC
rnacentral:snRNA from 1 species